GUUGACAGAGAGUUGAAGACUCCCGUGCUUCUGGGAAUAGUCAUUGUGAGCAUGUGGUCAGCCCGGUUGCUAGAAUUCUUCCCAUGAGCAGCUUCAGGGGCUGACUGUGGCCUCAUGCCCAGUACCUUUAGCCAUUUUAAUUUACCAAACCUCAUUGUCCCAUUCUCUUUUCAGGUUCUUGGCCAUAAAAUAUGGCUUUUGGAAAAAUAAAGCUGAGACUUGGAGUUCACGGUGGGGGCUCCCCCAUCUGUGAACAGAAGCAGAAGUUUGGAACUGCCUUCUUUACUGCUCGAGAGGGAAAACUUGAGUGAAAACCAGGAUGCUGGCGAAUGUUGAGUAGCUAAGCUGCACAGGAAAUACCACUUGAUGACCUGCGAUCUGGGGAAGCCGCGCCAGGGCUCUGCGAAGCUGCGGACGAGGGAGGCGUCAGUGUGGGGGCUGCAGCUCAGCUCCGGGGGGGACGCGCCUUUCUCCACGGGACCUGGGGCUCAGGUGCUCACGAGGCUGGGGCGCUGCAGGCCACCCGCAGGGGAAACUGAGGCCCUCCAUUUUGUGGGGCUGGAAGACCUUUCCUUCCAAAAGCAGGUGUAGGCGGGAGCACCUGUGCAGUCCCUCUGUUCAGAUCCUCACCCACUUUUAAAUCAGGUAAUUGCUUUUCUUGUUAUUGCAUUGAGUUCCUUAUGUAUUUUAGAUCGCCGGGUACCCUUCAUUUUACUCCUGAGGCUGUAACUUGGACAAAGCGCUUUCUGCUGCUUUGGAUGAAAAAUUCUUUUCCUCCACAGGAAACAGCAGAUGAAAUGCACAGUGUGAAGGACAAGGAUUCUGCUGAGAGAAUUGCUCCGAGGGUUGCUCAAGUGAUCAUGGGAAAUAAUGCAUCAAACCAUUCUUUAGGUAUUUUUUUAAAUUAGGAGGUAAAAAAUCUGUGCUGUUUGCCAAAAUGAUUCUUACACAGACAAGCUAGGAAAAUUGCUCUGAAACAUGACACAGACUCCUGAUUUGGCCCAACUAGGGUGUGAAGGAUGAAAUCCAUCCUGAGCCCUUCAUCCCUCUGCUUUCUCUGGUGCAGAUGCAGCUCAGGUGUGCCUUUUCUUCGCCUGUGCCCAUCCACCUGAGAUGGACCAUAACCAUAAAAGUCAGAAGGCACUGACCCUUCAGGACGUGACAGGGUUAAAAGAUGCUGGAGGGAAAGUCUGUCAUUGACUUUUAUUCACUUCCUUUCUCCAUUCUGCCAUUUGGAAGAAGGUAAGCAACUUAACACUAUUUUAGACCAUAUGUUGUAAACUAGCAGGAAAAUGCCUUUGAGCUGAUGAUGGUGGCCCGAACACAGUGAACCUGUCUUAAAUCCCUGCUUUAAACCCUUAAGGGUGUCACUUACAAGAGAUACUAUUUGAAGUCUUCCCAUGCAUGUGUAGGGUGGGGGGAGUACCAACAGCUCAUCGAAUGGGCUCCAUUUGAAAGAUCUGGAUGGUUGCCUUUAUUUGUAACUAGUUU
rnacentral:lncRNA from 1 species